AUUGAACGCUGGCGGCAGGCCUAACACAUGCAAGUCGGACGGUAGCACAGAGAGCUUGCUCUUGGGUGACGAGUGGCGGACGGGUGAGUAAUGUCUGGGGAUCUGCCCGAUAGAGGGGGAUAACCACUGGAAACGGUGGCUAAUACCGCAUAACGUCGCAAGACCAAAGAGGGGGACCUUCGGGCCUGCCACUAUCGGAAGAACCCAGAUGGGAUUAGCUAGUAGGCGGGGUAAUGGCACACCUAGGCGACGAUCCCUAGCUGGUCUGAGAGGAUGACCAGACACACUGGAACCGAGACACGGUCCAGACUCCUACGGGAGGCAGCAGUGGGGAAUAUUGCACAAUGGGCGCAAGCCUGAUGCAGCCAUGCCGCGUGUAUGAAGAAGGCCUUCGGGUUGUAAAGUACUUUCAGCGGGGAGGAAGGCGAUGCGGUUAAUAACCGCGUCGAUUGACGUUACCCGCAGAAGAAGCACCGGCUAACUCCGUGCCAGCCGCCGCCGUAA
rnacentral:rRNA from 1 species